GCUCCGUGCGCGGCUGCUCCCGGGGGAGCGCCCGCCCCUCGCUUCCCGGGGCCGGGGGGCUCCCGCCGCCCCCCCGGGGCUGCGCCGGCCGCCCUGGGAGGGGAGAGGGAGGCGGGCACCGCGCGUGGCCGCGGGGAGGGAGCGGAGAGCGAGGGCCUUUGGCUGCGGCCGCCUGCGGUGCGGGUCGGGCCCCGGUGAGGCGGGGCAGGCGGCCUCGGUGCCGGUUGUUGCGGCGCGGUGUUGCCGGGAGCUGCUGCUGCUGCUGCUGCUGCUGCUGUGUGCCCAGUGCUGUGUGCCCCCUCCGGGCAGCCGCAGCCCUGGAGGAAGCGCCUCGCACCCGAGACAAUGGCACCCUCUGUACCCAGAAGUUUUGCACCAGUUUCUUCUCUUUCCACAUCCCAGUGAUGAUGAAGUCCUGCCUGUCUGCUUGUCUCCCAGGCUCAGCAUCUGGGUUUGACUGUGAGCAAAGCCAUCACAGCGUCACAGCAUUGCCAGAAAGAUUUUCUGCCUCGCUUUUUUUGUCUGAGAAGGGCUCACUCAAGGUAUUGCCCUGGCACUGCUACUGUGGCUGCAGGGUGAAGGCUAAUGUUCCUCCCUUCCACCACCAAGCAAUGCAUGUUCCAGAAUCUCAGUGGAAAACAAGAUCAGAAACAAGUAAAACAUUGACACUCAGAAACUGUAGGAGUGAGAAAAAUUAGAGGGUUCCUUCUGCCUGUGAAGUUUUUAUGUAGCCAGUGGAGGCAGGUGUGGAACGUCUCUCUGUGAGACAGGUGAAAGGGGAAGAUGCUGCUUCCUAGGAGUCCUGUGGUUGAUGAAGUUUUGAAAGAGCACUUUACUUCAGGGAGUUUCAGAAUGUGUAAUGGAGAUGUGUGAUACUGGGGUACCACAGGUGGUAUAACCUGAUGCAAAAUAACCUCUGUGUGAGAAUACACUGGAGAUGUUGAGGAACAUUAGCACCAGCCGUUUACAGCUGUAAACUGCUGCUGCUCCAAGUGAAUUGCUAAAGUAAACACAGCCUAUGUUGGUUUAUUCUCUGUUCACAGAGGGAACAAAAACUGUAAUAGUUUGUGAUGCACCAUAAUUUUCCAGGAAAAUAUAUUGCAUAGCACUCGGAAAGCAAAAAUACUGUAUUUAAAUGAGAUUCACAGCAGUAAUUCUUACUGACUUAGAGAGACAGAUUCAGAAAAAGGAUUGCCAAGCUGAGACUAAUAGCUGCAUUCAACAUAUUCAAAUUUACACUAGUUUACAUUUUAAAUAAGAACUGCAGCUGUAGGGGGGAAAUAGUAUUUAAACACACCUUACUUUAUUAGAUAGUGCCACCUACGGGUUAAAAGCUUUUGAACUUUACAGUGACAGAGGACAGGAAGCCCUAUUAGUAACAGAUAAAGUAUUUCUUGCGUUAAACCAUUUGUAUUUUGGAAUUUGCAAGGUAAACGGAAUGUUGCUGAGAUUUCCAUACUGUUAUACCUGGCAAAAGAAUGGUGACUUCCACAGUUCCCUUCGGAGGUGGCCAUACUCUGCUCUCUCUUCUAUAGUCUGGCACUGAUUGGCAAAGUCACAAAUCCUGAUUUUCUUCUCUACUAAACAGGUCUUGCUUGGUAUGAUCAGUGGAAAGGUUAUCUACAUCUACUCCUGCAGGGCCGGGUAGGAGGUUGCUAUCUUGCUGUGUUUGAGUCUGCAGGAACUUAAAACAGAGCCUUGAGAAGUUUGCCUUUUUAGCCCAAAAUCAGAGACGAGAAACCCUGGCCUACUUCUUAUGAAUAUAGUCUGCUCAAGGACGUAUUGUACAAGGGAGGAAUGAGAUGCGGGGACUGCUCCCUGUCUGUGGGCAGAUAUGCUUUAUUCCUCCUGAAACUCACCUCUCCUCCGCCCCCCCCUUGCACAUUCCACCUUAUAGUUGAGUCCUGUUGCGUCCUUUUGAUGUAGCCUAGAAACAGGCAAAGAAGCCUGGAAAAAUCUGCCCAUCUCUGUACCAUGUUUGUUGUUUUGAACUGCAUUUUGGGCUAAAAGCCUGAGUUAUGCUCAUUUCUCUCCUGAAAAACCAAAACUCCAGGAGAGGUAAUAUUUUAGGAGAAGUGUUUUAUUCAUACACUUUUAAAGUUCUCUCCAAUGGUAUCUGACUUUGUUCUGUGUCUUCCACAGCAGAUGGCGUACCUGCCUGACUGAGACCAGAGACUCUUCCUGUGAUCUGCUCACUUGGCAAGAACUACUGUAUCUCAGGCAGAAUGCAAAUUAUGCACACAUGUAGUCAAGAAACUGCCUCCUCUGCCUUUAGAUGUAGUGAUGCUAUCACAAUAUUUUUCAAGGAGAAGUGUCAAUAACAUUUUUGAUUGCAUGACUGUAUGCUUGAAUUGUAGUGCUAAUGAAGGGCAUGUGUCUUUUCCCUUCCUUAAUUACUCUCUACACACUCAAGCAACAGAAGAUGUUAUUAUUAAUUAGAGGGGGAAUAGAGGGGGAAGACCUAAUUUUAUUUGUGUUAAGUUCCUUUUUUAAAUCAUCCAUACUGAAAAAAGAAAAAAGCCGGAUGACAAAAAUAGCUCUGUGCCUGAGAAACGGGGAAAAAAAAUAUUUAUUUUGGAAUUCAAGCCACAAAUAUGGCAAAAUGGUGCUGGAAAAUAUACCAGAGUUUGCUGUAAGUACCCCUCAGGUAGACAAGCCCUGUGGUAAAAUCAGAGCAUGAGGGAUCAAGCAAACUCUUACGACUGUCUUCUAGAUGUCGUGAGGUAGAAGAGAUGAGAAGCUGGAUACCAGGACUGCCAUGCUUGAAGCUGAAUGAGGUUUGACAAGGUUGUCAAAGAAAAGCUGCAGUAGGGGAACAGUAAAUUCCUUCUGGUGCCCAUCCUGAUGUGUCAUGCUCUGCAGCAAACAGACUGCUGCUUUGAUUCUGGCAAUAAACACUGGACCAAACCUGGGGGAGAUGAACAUUCUGAUCAGGUCCACCUUAGGCAGUCUUGCUCUGUCACUCUGGGUGGAUUUUUAGUGACUUUCUUGUUUUGAUGAAAGGCAGUGAGAAUAUGCAGUUACACAAGUAGUAGAGUGUUUUUGCCUUUAUAGGUUCUAUUGUUUAUGUGUAUAUAAAUAUGCAUAGAACUAAAGAAUAAGUAAAAUGUCACCAUAAAUAGUGACAUUAGUAAAUAUGUACAUAUUAAGAGUGCUUGGUAUUAUGGCCUUAUUGGCAGAUACUCUCUAACAAAAAUACAGCCUAAUAGUCUGGGCCAGCAUCUGUUUCUUGUAAAAGAAGAUACAACAAAUUCAGAGACUUGGGAUAAGAUACUUAGAAAUAAGGACUUCAGGAUUCUUUCAUGUACAUGUAUGUCUAAAACAAAGUCUGAAGAUGAGUGUUUAGUGAAGAGGAAUUGGAGAAGUGGUGAUGAAUAAAAUUCAUUAAGCAUAAUUUGGAAUACUCAGAAUUUCAGUUGCAAAGUGAAAAAAUCCUUGUGCUCUUGAAACUCCUGAAAUAAUGUUUUCAAAAUCUUUCAUUUUCCAGGGCCUGUUUCAAUAGAAGCUGUGAUGGUUUAAAGGUGUUCAGA